CACAGACCAGGGAGGGAGGGUAGAGAGAGAACACAGACCAGGGAGGGAGGGUAGAGAGAGAACACAGACCAGGGAGGGAAGGUAGAGAGAGAACACACACCAGGGAGGGAGGGUAGAGGGAGAACACAGACCAGGGAGGGAGGGUAGAGAGAGAACACAGACCAGGGAGGGAGGGUAGAGAGAGAACACAGACCAGGGAGGGAAGGUAGAGAGAGAACACAGACCAGGGAGGGAGGGUAGAGAGAGAACACAGACCAGGGAGGAAGGGUAGAGGGAGAACACAGACCAGGGAGGGAGGGUAGAGGGAGAACACAGACCAGGGAGGGAGGGUAGAGAGAGAACACAGACCAGGGAGGGAAGGUAGAGAGAGAACACAGACCAGGGAGGGAGGGUAGAGAGAGAACACAGACCAGGGAGGGAAGGUAGAGAGAGAACACAGACCAGGGAGGGAGGGUAGAGAGAGGCUAGAGGGAGAACACAGACGAGGGAGGGAAGGUAGAGAGAGAACACAGACCAGGGAGGGAAGGUAGAGAGAGGCUAGAGGGAGAACACAGACCAGGGAGGGAGGGUAGAGAGAGGCUAGAGGGAGAACACAGAACAGGGAGGGAGGGUAGAGAGAGAACACAGACCAGGGAGGGAGGGUAGAGAGAGGCUAGAGGGAGAACACACACCAGGGAGGGAGGGUAGAGAGAGAACACAGACCAGGGAGGGAAGGUAGAGAGAGAACACAGACCAGGGAGGGAAGGUAGAGAGAGAACACAGACCAGGGAGGGAAGGUAGAGAGAGAACACAGACCAGGGAGGGAGGGUAGAGGGAGAACACAGACCAGGGAGGGAAGGUAGAGAGAGAACACAGACCAGGGAGGGAGGGUAGAGAGAGGCUAGAGGGAGAACACAGACCAGGGAGGGAAGGUAGAGAGAGAACACAGACCAGGGAGGGAAGGUAGAGAGAGAACACAGACCAGGGAGGGAGGGUAGAGGGAGAACACAGACCAGGGAGGGAGGGUAGAGGGAGAACACAGACCAGGGAGGGAGGGUAGAGAGAGGGUAGAGGGAGAACACAGACCAGGGAGGGAGGGUAGAGAGAGAACACAGACCAGGGAGGGAGGGUAGAGAGAGGCUAGAGGGAGAACACACACCAGGGAGGGACGGUAGAGAGAGGCUAGAGGGAGAACACAGACCAGGGAGGGAGGGUAGAGAGAGGCUAGAGGGAGAACACACACCAGGGAGGGAAGGUAGAGAGAGGCUAGAGGGAGAACACAGACCAGGGAGGGAGGGUAGAGAGAGGCGAGAGGGAGAACACAGACCAGGGAGGGAGGGUAGAGAGAGGCUAGAGGGAGGACACAGACCAGGGAGGGAGGGAGGGAGGGUAGAGAGAGAACACACACCAGGGAGGGAGGGUAGAGAGAGGCUAGAGUGAGAACACAGACCAGGGAGGGAGGGUAGAGAGAGGCUAGAGGAGAACACAGACCAGGGAAGGAGGGUAGAGAGAGAACACAGACCAGGGAGGGAGGCUAGAGAGAGGCUAGAGGGAGAACACAGACCAGGGAGGGAGGGUAGAGAGAGCCUAGAGGGAGAACACAGA